rnacentral:rRNA from 1 species
CACGUAGGGUGCGAGCGUUUGUCCGGAAUUAUUGGGCGUAAAGAGCUCGUAGGCGGUGUGUCGCGUCGGCCGUGAAAACCUGCAGCUUAACUGUGGGCUUGCGGUCGAUACGGGCAUCACUGGAGUUCGGCAGGGGAGACUGGAAUUCCUGGUGUAGCGGUGAAAUGCGCAGAUAUCAGGAGGAACACUGGUGGCGAAGGCGGGUCUCUGGGCCGAUAUUGACGCUGAGGAGCGAAAAGCGUGGGGGAGCGAACAGG